rnacentral:rRNA from 1 species
UACAGAGGGUGCGAGCGUUGUCCGGAAUCACUGGGCGUAAAGGGCGCGUAGGCGGCUCGGUAAGCGUGCGGUGAAAGCCCGGGGCUCAACCCUCGGAUGCCGGUGGAUACUGUCGGGCUAGAGUACGGAAGAGGCGAGUGGAAUUCCUGGUGUAGCGGUGAAAUGCGCAGAUAUCGGGAAGAACACCCGUGGCGAAGGCGGUUCUCUGGGACGGUACUGGACGCUGAGACGCGAAAGCGUGGGGAGCGAACGG